rnacentral:rRNA from 1 species
CCUACGGGGGGCAGCAGUGAGGAAUCUUGGUCAAUGGGCGCGAGCCUGAACCAGCCAAGCCGCGUGAGGGAAGACGGUCCUAUGGAUUGUAAACCUCUUUUGUCGGGGAGCAAAAGACGCCACGCGUGGCGUUCCGAGAGUACCCGAAGAAAAAGCAUCGGCUAACUCCGUUCCAGCAGCCGCGGUAAUACGGAGUAUGCGUGCGUUAUCCGGAUUGAUUGGGUUUAACGGGAGUGCAGGGGGAAGGUCAAGUCAGCGGUAAAAGUGAGGGGCUCAACUUCUUCGAGCCGUUGAAACUGGUAUUCUUGAGUGAGCGAGAGGUAUGCGGAAUGCGUGGUGUAGCGGUGAAAUGCGUAGAUAUCACGCAGAACUCCGGUUGCGAAGGCAGCAUACCGGCGCUCAACUGACGCUCAUGCACGAAAGUGUGGGUAGCGAACAGGAUUAGAUACCCGAGUAGUC